rfam:Trichobilharzia regenti genome assembly, scaffold: TRE_scaffold0023170
GUGCUGCUGAAGAGUCCCGAACUAAGACGAAACAGCUGUCCAGUAU